rnacentral:rRNA from 1 species
UACGUAGGGUGCGAGCGUUAAUCGGAAUUACUGGGCGUAAAGGGUCUGUUGGUGGCCAACUAAGUCAGACGUGAAACCCCUCAGCUUAACUGGGGAACUGCGUCUGAUACUGGAUGGCUUGAGUGUGGGAGAGGAAUGCGGAAUUCCAGGUGUAGCGGUGAAAUGCGUAGAUAUCUGGAGGAACACCGGUGGCGAAGGCGGCAUUCUGGACCAUAACUGACACUGAGAGACGAAAGCCAGGGGAGCAAACAGG